CUAUUGGACUUUGGACGAGGAUUAUCGGGCUUUGGAGUACGAUUGUUGGGCGUUGGUGUACGAUUAUCGGACUUAGGAGUACAAUUAUCGGACUUUGUAGUAAGGUUAUUGGACUUUGGAAUUGGCGAUUUGUCAUAUUUAUGAUACUUGUGCGAAAUCAAAUUCUGUUUCAUUUCUGUCUUAAUUAAUAGUGUACGUAUAGUCGCCCACUUACCUCUGAACGUUGUUUGAAUCACUGACGACUUCGUGGUAACUUUCAGAAUAAUUCUUUCGUUUAUAAGUAGCAGUAUGAAGUAUGAUAUAAGUUUCAGGGCCCUACGUUCCGUAUUAAAGAUUUUUGGUAACAGCAGGGCAUACAAAUUAUACAACAUAGUGUAAAUUAAACGUUCACUUCCUUAUGAGAUUUCUCGACCGUGUGGGAGAGGUCUUUGAUUUAAAAUCACUUGCCAUUAAGCGCUCAUUGUUUGAACCUUGAAAAGAUUUUUCAAGUCAGUUGACUACUUAGUAUAUAAACAAAUACAGUAGUUUGUAAAGAGUGCCUGUGGGUGGCUUUUCAGCACCAAUAAAAAACUGUAAAGUUUAUCGCCGCACGACCGCACUUCUCACAGUUUCUAUAUUCACAUUUCUUUUCUAUUUUACCCAGGUGAAACAUGAGGUGCAUCACACUUAUUGUCGUCUGCAUUGUGAUGUCUGUGGGCCUGACGAUCGGUAUGCAGAUCAGCUCUAGGUACCCUCACUAUGACUGGGACGACAUGUACUACAAGAAAGAAGGAAAAGUAGUCCCUGUUCCUGUCAUCUAUAAGAAGGUUGACAGCGUGUUUCCAGUGCUUCUAUCCCUGAUACUGUCACAGUUCUUCCGUCGGUCAACUACUCUAACAGACAACGAAACGCUGAGAGAAAAUGGUAUCACAGUUAUCACGGAAGACCCCUGUUGUUGAGAAUCAAGAGUUCUGAAUAGCUGAUUUCUGCAAGAGGAGUUCCUGUCUGCUUUUCUUUAUAAAAUAUGAUAUACUUUGAUAGCACUUUAAAAAUGUCAUUUCGAUAUUGUUUAGUCUAUUCAACUGCAAGGUUACUGAAGAUGAUAUUGUUUUCAUUUAAUCAAUUGUAACACAUUUCAUAGUACAAAUGUACUUUACAUUAUGUAUUUUACACUAUGUAUUUUACACUAUAAACCAUGUUUCACCUUCUGUAUGCUCCGAUCUGAAACUAAAAAGGGCGCAAAAGAAGCGCAGACUGAUCAGACACAUUGUUUCAGUUUUGUACCUCUUUUUAGGAAUGACUUUCUAAACAUUAAAAAAGCUAACAGAAAAAAAAUAGCGACCUUCCUUGUGACCUUCAUCUUCGGAUAAUACAUGUAAUUAUAGCCGAUGAUUAACCUGUUGUCCCAGCUUUAUUUAUCUGUCAGUU